rnacentral:rRNA from 1 species
AUUGAACGCUGGCGGCAGGCCUAACACAUGCAAGUCGAACGAGGGGCGGACGGGUGAGUAAUGUCUGGGAAACUGCCUGAUGGAGGGGGAUCACUACGGGAAACAGUAGCUAAUACCGAAUCCCAUCGGAUGUGCCCAGAUGGGAUUAGCUAGUGGGUGGGGUAACGGCUCACCUAGGCGACGAUCCAUAGCUGGUCUGAGAGGAGGACCAGCCACACUGGAGCUGAGACACGGUCCAGAGUCCUACGAGAGGCAGCAGUGGGGAAUGUUGCGCAAUGGGCGCAAGCCUGAUGCAGCCGUGCCGCGUGUAUGAAGGAGGCCCUAGGGUUGUAAAGUACUUUCAGCGGGGAGGCGUUACCCGCAGAAGAAGCACCGGCUAACUCCGUGCCAGCAGCCGCGGUAAUAC